CCUACGGGAGGCAGCAGUGAGGAAUAUUGGUCAAUGGGCGCAAGCCUGAAGCAGCGAAGUCGCGUGAAGGAUGACGGCCCUACGAGUUGUAAACUUCUUUUAUAGAGGAAUAAAGUGAGGCACGUGUGCCUUUUUGUAUGUACUUUAUGAAUAAGGAUCGGCUAACUCCGUGCCGGCAGCCGCGGUAAUACGGAGGAUCCGAGCGUUAUCCGGAUUUAUUGGGUUUAAAGGGAGCGUAGAUGGGUUGUUAAGUCAGUUGUGAAAGUUUGCGGCUCAACCGUAAAACUGCAAUUGAUACUGGCAGCCUUGAGUACAGUUGAGGUAGGCGGAAUUCGUGGUGUAGCGGUGAAAUGCUUAGAUAUCACGAAGAACUUCGAUUGCGAAGGCAGCCUACUAAACUGCCACUGACAUUGAUGCUCGAAAGUGUGGGUAUCAAACAGGAUUAGAUACCCUAGUAGUC
rnacentral:rRNA from 1 species